rnacentral:rRNA from 1 species
AGGACGAACGCUGGCGGCGUGCUUAACACAUGCAAGUCGAGCGGAAAGGCCCUUCGGGGUACUCGAGCGGCGAACGGGUGAGUAACACGUGAGCAACCUGCCCUUAGCUUCGGGAUAGCUCCGGGAAACCGGAUUAAUACCGGAUAUGACUAUGGCCGACAUCAGCCAUGGUGGAAAGUUUUUCGGCUAGGGAUGGACUCGCGGCCUAUCAGCUAGUUGGUGAGGUAACGGCUCACCAAGGCGACGACGGGU